rnacentral:tRNA from 2 species
AUUUAUAUAGUUUAAGAAAACAUUACAUUUUCACUGUAAAGACAAAGUCCAACUUUUAUAAAUA